CUUCAUGUGGCCUUCAGAUCAGCUCAAGAACAGUACACUGAGCUUCAUGGAAUGGGUGUCCAACCCUUACGUCACCAAGAACAAUGCAAAGUGGAUGCAGUGGUGUAAAGCACGCCGCCUGUAAAAGAAGACCCUCUGGUGGCCGCCUUGCACCUGAGGCCCCCAAGCCUACCUGUCCUGUUGACCAAGCAGGAGUCGCCCGGGCUCGUGAACAGCCUGCUCCGUAGCCGUUUGGUUGGAUGCGUCUAUUUAAAUCAGUAGGAUGAAGGUCAAGGGGAUCUUCCCAAAAGUCAAAGUGUGCUUCAGGAAAGGACCAGCUGGAUAUCUGAAGCAGCAUCCUUCAGAUGAAGCCCAGAGAAUUAAAGACAAACCGGAUCUCCAGGACAAGUCGGUCGAAGACAGCAAACAAAGCUUUGCAGUGGCGUUCGAGGAUCGCUGAGACCUUCUUCUGCAUGAGUCUGAACUUUUGUGGAGCAGUAGAAAUAUUUCACCUCUUCUCAAGAAGUGAAUGGAGGAACCAUCAACAUGGCAGCGCAACUUCAACCGGCUACAAGCAAGACAACUCUUAGUUAGAGGAGGCCUCUGGGGCUUAAUGCUGGGGGGGGGGUUACUGGAGCAGAUGGGAGGGUCACCACUGGAACAUGUGCAGUUUCACUGUCCUCUGUAAGAUGAUGCUACAGUUUCUGGUUUCGUGGAUCAUUGUUUUUGAUCCAUGAGACGCUGCAAAGAUGUGAUCCUGCAGCACAGAGGGUUACAGUCAGUGACUACAUGAUUGCAUUGAUUUAAGUAAGUGAGGAUGUUUCAGAGGUCAAGCUUACCUGAGCAGGCUGUUCCUUCCUCUCCUCCUCAGAUGGGUCAUCUGUGACUCUCUCACUGAAAGCAGAUGGCUCAGAGGAGUGAGGCUCUCCCUGUCCUUCUGCAGGAACCUUCAGGGACUUCUUCUUGUCCCAGUCCAGAUGGGGUGACAGCCUGUCUCCAAGGACUGCAGUCCAAACCUUUCUCCAGUGUCUGUCUGUGAGAUAACUAAGGCUGGGUACUUAGCCUGGCCAGUUUCCAUCACUGACAACUUGUUUAGUUCUGAGAUUAAGAGGGGAUCAAACACUACAGGAAGCUUCAUCUCAGGCUGCUUCAGGUCCACGAGGUGCUGAAAAGCUCUGUGGAAACCUGAGUGCCUGUGACCCAUUUCGCCUGGUGGAAAUGAAAGCCCUCCUGCUGAGAGGUGCCUCUCACAGGGAUCCACAGAGGUACAGCUGCCUCCUCUCCCUUGACAUGGUUUAGUUGGACCAUUCCACCAUGUCUGUAGAGGAUGCCCCCUGCAACCUUCGGGUCACUGAGGCAGCCUCUGAGGAUGUGGACCCGCUGAAUCCUCCACACCUUCAACAUUGAAGGUUUAAACAGCAGCUCACCAUCAGGAUCACAUUCUAAAAAGAAUUU